UAGGGAAUCUUCCACAAUGGACGAAAGUCUGAUGGAGCAACGCCGCGUGAGUGAAGAAGGGUUUCGGCUCGUAAAACUCUGUUGUUAAAGAAGAACAUAUCUGAGAGUAACUGUUCAGGUAUUGACGGUAUUUAACCAGAAAGCCACGGUUAACUACGUGCCAG
rnacentral:rRNA from 1 species